UACGAAGGGUGCAAGCGUUACUCGGAAUCACUGGGCGUAAAGCGUGCGUAGGCGGUUCGUUAAGUCUGCUGUGAAAGCCCUGGGCUCAACCUGGGAACUGCAGUGGAUACUGGCGGACUAGAGUGUGAUAGAGGAUGGUGGAAUUCCCCGGUGUAGCGGUGAAAUGCGUAGAGAUCGGGAGGAACACCAGUGGCGAAGGCGGCCAUCUGGAUCAACACUGACGCUGAGGCACGAGAGCGUGGGGAGCAAACAGGG
rnacentral:rRNA from 1 species